GAUGAACGCUAGCUACAGGCUUAACACAUGCAAGUCGAGGGGAAACGACAUCGAAAGCUUGCUUUUGAUGGGCGUCGACCGGCGCACGGGUGAGUAACGCGUAUCCAACCUGCCCAUCACUUGGGGAUAACCUUGCGAAAGUAAGACUAAUACCCAAUGAUAUCUCUAGAAGACAUCUGAAAGAGAUUAAAGAUUUAUCGGUGAUGGAUGGGGAUGCGUCUGAUUAGCUUGUUGGCGGGGUAACGGCCCACCAAGGCAACGAUCAGUAGGGGUUCUGAGAGGAAGGUCCCCAACAUUGGAACUGAGACACGGUCCAAACUCGUACGGGAGGCAGCAGUGAGGAAUAUUGGUGAAUGGGCGAGAGCCUGAACCAGCCAAGUAGCGUGCAGGAAGACGGCCCUAUGGGUUGUAAACUGCUUUUAUAAGGGAAUAAAGUGAGAGUCGUGACUCUUUUUGUAUGUACCUUAUGAAUAAGGACCGGCUAAUUCCGUG
rnacentral:rRNA from 1 species